UACGUAGGGUGCAAGCGUUAAUCGGAAUUACUGGGCGUAAAGCGUGCGCAGGCGGUUAUGCAAGACAGAGGUGAAAUCCCCGGGCUUAACCUGGGAACCGCAUUUGUGACUGCAUAGCUGGAGUACUGCAGAGGGGGAUGGAAUUCCGCGUGUAGCAGUGAAAUGCGUAGAUAUGCGGAGGAACACCGAUGGCGAAGGCAGUCCCCUGGGCCUGUACUGACGCUCAUGCACGAAAGCGUGGGGAGCAAACAGG
rnacentral:rRNA from 1 species